GGUGCUGUUGGGCCAAUGCUGAGAGCCAGGCUGUCUAGGGGGGAUGGCCCCUGGAGAACAGGUCGGAAACUUGGAGGAGGGUGAAUGAAGAGAAAGUGUUUGGUCACGGUCUUGGAUACUCUUGAGUAUCUGGAGCUAGAGGGAGCUGCCUGGGUUGUCUCAGGGAACUUGUGUGGCGUAAAGAGAGGAAUUCCACGUACACGCCCUUUGUUUGCGCAAUGGCCCAGGCAAGGAGGGCGAUCUAAUCCAAGGCCUAUAAAUAUCUCCCACGUUCACGUCCUCAGCAGACAUUAAUGGAGGCCUCGCUGACGGCUGUUUACAGGACACGUAAGCAUCUGGAGAGGAGCCCAUUUUAAACCUAGCAACUCGUGCCGUGUUUGACAGCCAAGGGCUCAGUGGAGCGGGCACGCCGUGGAGGACGUGUGCUGUACUCAGCAGGGAUUUCUCUCCCUUCAAGCACCGAGGAAUUGUAUCAAAGUCCUGCUUUAAAUACUGGAUUUGUUACUCUAUCAGCAGUGCCUGGAGAAGCUGGAAAGCUACACAGUGAUUGACUUGCCUGCACUAGCCUUGAACUUCUUAGCAUGUUGAGAUUCCUAACUAAGCCUCGUUUUUCCCCCACCCUUGGACGGACUAGGAAGAGAAGGGAAAGGCUCAUAAGCACAAGGAAGGAAAGGGAAAGACCAGAAAAUAAUAGAUGCUAUGCUAUGUUAUGAAAACACCACAAAAAUAACUUGGAUGUUACUGGCCAAGCUGCUCCUCUGGAGUAAUUAAUUCAGUGCUGUUCUCCAUGAGUGUUCCCACCCAUCUGUCAGGCUUUGAAGGACUUAAGGACUUCUGCAUCUAGGAAAGGCUUAAAUAGUCUGUUGUGUCCUCUGAUUUACCAAAGCCUGAAUGUAAAGCCACAGCUUCUCUCUAUAAUAAAAGAAACAUGAGGCAAAAAAUAGCAGAGGUGGAAACUAUCAGUGAUGUAAGAGGUGUAGCGUGAUCUUCUAGAGGAGCUUGUCUGCGGUUCCAGCUGUGCUUGUAGGAACACUGUCCUUCUCUUUAAGGUCAAACAACCCAUAACUUUUGCUCACUAACCAAAGGCUGCUGUCAUAUGGACAAAGCAUGAAGGCAUAAUAAGGAGAGCAACUUAAAAGAACAGUUUCCAGACUUAAAUCUGAAUUUCAUUGUUGUAUGAAGUUUGCGUUGGAAACUAAAUUGAUUCUAACCUUUUCUGUUUGAUUAAAAAUCCAUUUGAACUUCAGGCUGGCUAAAUUCCAGCUCUCAGAAGUAAUUGCCUUUUGCUAAGCUACGCACCUCCUGUGAAACCUUAUUCCGGGAACUUAGUGUAAUUAUUAUCCUUCCCUUCAAAUAAAUGGUUUUAUAGCA